rnacentral:rRNA from 1 species
AUUGAACGCUGGCGGCAUGCCUUACACAUGCAAGUCGAACGGCAGCGGACCUUCGGGUGCCGGCGAGUGGCGAACGGGUGAGUAAUAUAUCGGAACGUACCUUUCAGUGGGGGAUAACGUAGCGAAGGUUACGCUAAUACCGCAUAUUCUGUGAGCAGGAAAGCAGGGGAUCGCAAGACCUUGCGCUGAUUGAGCGGCCGAUAUCAGAUUAGCUAGUUGGUGAGGUAAAGGCUCACCAAGGCGACGAUCUGUAGCGGGUCUGAGAGGAUGAUCCGCCACACUGGAACUGAGACACGGUCCAGACUCCUACGGGAGGCAGCAGUGGGGAAUUUGGACAAUGGGCGCAAGCCUGAUCCAGCCAUGCCGCGUGAGUGAAGAAGGCC